CAAACACGGAGGCUCUAGCAGGCAGGAGGGGGUGGGGGGUGGAGACUUGAGGCCAGAGCCCUUCCCUGAGUAGGGUCGAAGUAUUGGGCGGCACCUGUUACCUGGAACCAAGACUCAGCAGCCUGCCUGCUCUCCACAAACAGGCCCCAGAAACCCCGGACACUUGGAAGGUUGUCUGCAUUCCCUGCCAUUGGAGACCCCAGAGCCAGGCGAUGAAGCCCCUCCGUCACCCAGAGGCCAGUGUCGGGCCCCCAUACAGCUGGACACAGGACUACCCUCACCCUGGCUUUGCCCAGGACAGAGCCUACCAAGCCAGAGACUCGGGCUGGAAACCCUUGGAGAGAAGGUGACCUAGGCAGCCAGUCCCAGUCUGGGGCCACCCAGGAUUUGCUAUUCCAGCAACAGCUGGUGACCCUUCCCUCCUCAGGGCGGGCUGAGGAGAACCCGUCCAGGUGGGCAGUGAGGACACACAGCUGCUCAGGAUCCCAGGAGGGCAGAAGGCAAGAAAGCACGGAGCAGGGAUCGGAACUGAAUCAUUGUUUAUUUCUGGGAAAGCAUGUCUGCCAGUUUGGGCCGACACCUUUGGCCCCCACAAGGCUGCGGCCCUGAGAACAGACCACCCUGAGCCACCGCCAGGCCGGCUCGCUGACAAGUAGGGAACAGCCCCCCAAACUUGGAGCGGUAACAGUACAAAGAGCAACAAAACUGAAUGCACAGCCUUCCCUCCCAAGCUUUGAAAGGUAGCAGCCGGGCUAUGAAAGUAGAAGCGUUGUGUAAGAAGUGUUAACUCUACAGCAAAUACAUCUUGUAAAAACUCAAUAAAUUAUAUAUAUAUAUAUAUAAACUUGUAACAUCUAAACCUGUGUGCAGGGCUGGCCCCCACUGGAAAUGCCUCCCCGCCUGGAACACAUGGCAAUUAGAAUGUGUAUGAAAAUACCAGCUUGCUUUGAAGUCCAAAAAAAUAAAUCUCCUAAAGAAAAAUCCUAGAGAAAUCUAGUUCCCCUGCAAAAGGACCAAGGAAAGACAAUAUCCCCACCAUAGUCACCUCACACUAGUAAUGACCCUUUGGGUGUGAGCGGGCUGCUCAGGCCUUGGGGUGCAGGCUGGGUGCGCCGAGAGAUGGGGCACACCCUCAGGGAACCCUUAAAACGAAGCAUAAACCUUCUCAGCUGUUAAUAAGUUAAGACUUAAACUGCUGCCAUGCGGUGGA